rnacentral:rRNA from 1 species
UACGUAGGGUGCGAGCGUUGUCCGGAAUUAUUGGGCGUAAAGGGCUCGUAGGCGGUCUGUCGCGUCAGGAGUGAAAACUCGGGGCUUAACCCCGAGCCUGCUUCUGAUACGGGCAGACUAGAGGUAUGCAGGGGAGAACGGAAUUCCUGGUGUAGCGGUGAAAUGCGCAGAUAUCAGGAGGAACACCGGUGGCGAAGGCGGUUCUCUGGCCGAUACUGACGCUGAGGAGCGAAAGCGUGGGGAGCGAACAGG